AACGAACGCUGGCGGCAGGCUUAACACAUGCAAGUCGAACGCAUCCUUCGGGGUGAGUGGCAGACGGGUGAGUAACGCGUGGGAACGUGCCCUUCAGUUCGGGAUAACCCAGGGAAACUUGGGCUAAUACCGGAUACGUGCGAGAGCAGAAAGGUUUAUCGCUGAAGGAUCGGCCCGCGUCUGAUUAGCUAGUUGGUGGGGUAAUGGCACACCAAGGCGACGAUCAGUAGCUGGUCUGAGAGGAUGAUCAGCCACAUUGGGACUGAGACACGGCCCAGACUCCUACGGGAGGCAGCAGUGGGGAAUAUUGGACAGUGGGCGCAAGCCUGAUCCGGCCAUGCCGCGUGAGUGAUGAAGGCCUUAGGGUUUUAAAGCUCUUUCGUCCGGGACGAUAAUGACGGUACCGGAAGAAGAAGCCCCGGCUAACUUCGUGCCAGCCGCCGCGGUAA
rnacentral:rRNA from 1 species